CGGAGCCCACGUGGACUGCGGCGGUCCUGAAGGGCUCACCCGGAUUGGGGAGUGCGGAUUGGGGAAUCCGGAGCCAUGAAGGCCAAGACCUGAAGGGUUCUCCGUACCGACUGCACACCUACUUCCGACAUUUUACCUCCGCUAAAAGUGUGGGGAGAACUUGGAAAAGUCUGAGCAUCGUGAAAUCCACGGUUGUUGGCGCUGAGCGGCAACGCGGCCGGCCGCCCUCCUUGUCUUCGGGAGUGUGUGUGUCUCGCUCGUAUUUGUGUCGCCGGUGUCUCGCACUUAUGCACAGAGGAAAGGCCAUGUGAGGACACAUUGAGAAGAUGACCAUCCGCAAGCCAGCAAGAGAGUUCUCAGCAGAAGCACCUUGACAACUUGAUCUUGGACUUCUAACGUCCAGGGCUCUGAGAACACAUUUCUGUUUUUUAAGCCAGUCCCUAUGUGGUAUGUUGUAAUGGCCAUUCACACUGACUAAUACAAAGUUUCACUGUACAUUUACUUAAAAGAAAAGCCUCACAAACCCAAGUUGUCCAGAUCAGCCCUCCACGUAUGCUCUGCCCAACACAAUUGCCACUAGCUACCUGUGGCCGAUGAACCCUUAAAAUUUGGCUAGUGCAACUGAGGGACUGAAUUUUUCGUGUUACUUAAUUUUAAUUAAUUUAAGUUUAAACCACCCCAUGAGGCUAGUGAUUAACGUAUUACACAGCACCGGUCUAGGUCAUUAAACUUGAAUCUUGAUUAAACUUAAAUAUCUGAUAACAUCAUUUUCUACGUAAGUUUUAAAUUAAGUGCUUUCUAUAUUCCUCAUGUAUUCCAAAACUGAUUAAAAUGCAUGGC
rnacentral:lncRNA from 1 species